UUACUCUCCUCAUUAAGGCAAACAUUUUCAUUCAAAACUAUUUAAGAAGACAAUAUAUUUUUUCAAAAUUUAUUAAAAGGAAUAUCCAUCAAUUCUGUUUUUCUCAAGAAGACACACUCGCGAUAAGAAUGAAAUAUUUCACUUAUAUACUCCUACUCCUUGUGGUGGUUUUGGCGGCCGGGGUGUAUAAUUACCCUGAAAUAAUGGAUGCGCGUCUUUUGUGUUCUAAUUCAUUCAAUUAGGAAGGUUCCUAAUAAUGCUUAUGCCCAUGCCAAAAUUCCCGCUGUUUGAAGAUUUGUUCAUUCUUAUAUAUAAUAUAAUUAUAACAAUUUUGUGAUUAAUUUAUCGUAUAAUAAU